rnacentral:tRNA from 1 species
GCUAGGAUGGUGUAACGGUAGCAUAGAAGCCUGUGGAGCUUCAGGUGCGGGUUCGAAUCCCGCUCCUAGCC